CCUACGGGUGGCAGCAGUCGGGAAUAUUGCGCAAUGGAGGAAACUCUGACGCAGUGACGCCGCGUGCAGGAAGAAGGUUUUCGGAUUGUAAACUGCUUUUAACAGGAAAGAAAAAAAUGACGGUACCUGUUGAAUAAGCUCCGGCUAACUACGUGCCAGCAGCCGCGGUAAUACGUAGGGAGCGAGCGUUAUCCGGAUUUAUUGGGUGUAAAGGGUGCGUAGACGGAAAUGCAAGUUAGUUGUGAAAUACCUCGGCUUAACUGAGGAACUGCAACUAAAACUAUAUUUCUUGAGUAUCGGAGGGGUUUGUGGAAUUCCUAGUGUAGCGGUGAAAUGCGUAGAUAUUAGGAAGAACACCGGUGGCGAAGGCGACAAACUGGACGAUAACUGACGUUGAGGCACGAAAGUGUGGGGAGCAAACAGGAUUAGAUACCCCAGUAGUC
rnacentral:rRNA from 1 species